CAUCUGCAAAGGACCACAUGGGGACUGUGUACCACUAAGGCCCUUCCCAGCUGUAAAAUGCUUUAAGCUCCUGUCGGCAUCAGAAACCGGGAUGCCAGUGGUCCACCUGCAAACUCACCCCAAGAAAGACACCUUCCAUGGACGAAGAGGCAAGUCAUAUAUGACCAGCUUCUAUAAAAUCAGAACCUUCUUCCUACACGAAGCAAACAAGCAGAUGAGGCCUGAGCAACAGGCAGCUCACAUCUGGCCACAUGCUGACUGCCUUUCUCCCCCACCCCUUGGUAAUAAGGAGCAGACUAGCAAAAUAGUUCAAAUGCCUUCUUAAAAAGCACACUGCCUUGUAGGCUCAGAGGCCUAUUUUGAGCAAAAUGUUUCAAACCUCUGUGCUCAGAGCCAGUCUAGGCAUCAACAGCUCACUCCAGCUGAACGAUCAGGGAGUCAGUGAAGGACUCUGGUGUAUCCGCUGGAUGCCAGGCCAGCAUCCGGCACUGAGAUACGAGGGGGGACUGGACAUCCCUGUCUCCCAGGCCUGUCUGCUCAGAAUGGGAGCUUGACAGCAAACCCAGCCACCCAGCCCUGCGCAAGAAGGCUUGUACGGAGGAUGCGCAAGGCUAGCGCUGGGGGAAGCCAGAAAAGGAAGUGGACCUCACUCGAAUGUCCAGAAAACUACUCAGAGGAAGGAGCAUGGGAGCUUGAUGCAGACCUGGAAGGACCACUGGCAUUUAAUCCUACAGACCCGCAAGGAAAUACUUGGACGCAGAGUUGCACAGCACCAACAGCAAACCUCAACAGACAGCCCAACCCUGCCUUUCCAGCACAAGGAAGGAAAAGGAAAAGGGCAGGUGGAGCACUGGGGAACCUCCGAAGCAAAAAAAGGAAAGAACAGCAAGAUGGGUAAAGUUGAAGGCAGACGGACUUGGGCUCAAAUUCUACCUCCACCACUGAGUUUACUUGGAUAAACCACCCCGCUUUUCUGGAGGUUUCUCCCCCAUCUGUGAAAUGGGUGUAAAAAUAA